GAAGAAGAAGCAUUUGCUUCUUCAUAAUACACCCCAAAACACUAUUCAUCCUGGGCAGCUUAAAAUCUGAUAACUUUCGCCGGAGCUUCCUGAAUGUCCGUUUGAGCUCAAAUUUGACAGUCAUGUUCGGUUUUACUUAACUUAACAAGCUGACGAUCGCUGGUUCAGUUUCGACCCUGUUUGGUCACUGAAAACUGUACCGAACUGCAAUCUUUAUCAGAUAGCUUUCGAAUUUUAUUUCUCACUCUAUGGGUGUCAGAAAAAUAUGAAACCUUAAAUCUAGCCUCAUAAAAAUAUUUCUGACAUCUUUGCCAAUUUUCAUAAUUUUCUGAGACUGUGCAUUUUCUGCUAAUUUAUCUGCCCCGUUUCCAACAGAAAAUUUUAAAUCUUCUGUUUUAAUUCCGAUUUCAGCACAAGUCACUUCUGACUUAUGUUUUACUUCUAUAAAUCCAAUAAAAAUAGUUUCCCACACUAAUUUUAUUUAUUUUUAUUUUUAUACCAAAAUCUGGUAUGUUACAUCUUCGAUGAUUU
rnacentral:lncRNA from 1 species